rnacentral:rRNA from 1 species
CCUACGGGAGGCAGCAGUGGGGGAUAUUGCACAAUGGGGGAAACCCUGAUGCAGCGACGCCGCGUGGGCGAAGAAGUAUUUCGGUAUGUAAAGCCCUAUCAGCAGGGAAGAAGAAAUGACGGUACCUGAGUAAGAAGCACCGGCUAAAUACGUGCCAGCAGCCGCGGUAAUACGGAUGGUGCAAGCGUUAUCCGGGUUUACUGGGUGUAAAGGGGGGGCAGGGGGCACUGCAAGCCUGAUGUGAAAGCCUGCGGCCCAACCGCGGGCCUGCCGUGGGAACUGCCGGGCUGGAGUGGCGGAGAGGUAUGCGGAAUGCCUGGUGUAGCGGUGAAAUGCGUAGAUAUUAGGCGGAACGCCAGUGGCGAAGGCGGCCUACUGGAGGGUGACUGACGCUGAGGCUCGAAAGCGUGGGGAGCAAACAGGAUUAGAUACCCUGGUAGUC